GCCUUCCUGGUUCAUACCAAAUAUUUAUUGAUAAAUAGUUUUUUGUCUUAGAAAGAGUCCAGUGACCAUUAUAAUCACUUCAAACACCUUUUUAUUUUGGCAUCUUUGAAAAUGACUCCAUGAGCGGCAGUUUCUGACUGAAGAACGAAAAACAAACGUGGAGAGCAGGGUGGGAGAAGAAUCACUCAUGAAAUGAAGGUACUUCUGAAAGCUGUGAAACAAACAUGUUCAGAUUUAUUUUAUUCCAGUGAAAAUGGCAUUUCACUUUAAGGGUAAAUCAAACGUAAACCUUCGGCUCCUGUUCCUUCCUUCGGCUGUUUCUCUUUGCUUCUCAGGCGAUCGACAGGAGCGGGAGGAGCCAAUYAAAACUCAAAACAAGCGUAAAUUUUACACACUCAGAGAGAAUGCAAAGACCUCGGCCUCGACAGGAGGAAAAAUAAAAAGCAGGUUUGACUUUGUGAGACGUCUGAACUCAGCCGGUUUGUUCUCCGCUGUACACGUCGAGUCAGGAAAUACCAUUCCUUCUUUCCUCUUUUAGUAUAAAAACACAUAAAAAAGUUUUUUCAAAAGAACGAGGUUUCCCCUCUCAUCACCGGCGUGUUCUGUGAGCGUUAUUUACAACCGUACAAAACGUGUUUAUUUCUUGUUUCAAAACGCAAAAAACAUCAGACGAGUGGAGUUUUACGGUGAAAUGUUUGUGAGAUARACAGAAAUAUUCAGCAAACCUGACUCAACCUGCAUGUUUCACAUUAAAUGUUGCUAAUAAAUCAUCUGCUGAAAGGUUUCCUCCAGAUUCACAUAUUAAUAAGAUCAGUCAAAUUUAAAAUAAGAACUCAAGGUUCCGUCUUUUAACACUUUUAACUCAAGUGGAAAAGUAAAACCUAAACAAAACAAACCUGAACUGUCAGGUUUACGGCUGAAGGUCUUUGCAUUCACACAGGAAAAAUAUUCAUGAUUCAGAUGAAACCAAACUAAAAAUCAGAUCGUGAUGCCAAAGAAAGUCUGUCUGAUGUGCUUCUUCUUGCCACGAGUGCAUCGACGUAAGGCACAGUUCCCCUCUUUCAACAGAGUGGCCCACUUUAUUUCUUUUAUCUCUUAAAAAAACAUCUCGAUCCGAAAAACGACUCAGGUGAUCACCGCCGAGGUUCAAGCUGCCCGAAGAGACAAGUUUUAUUUUGUUUGCUGUUUUAAAAAAAUUGUUUCAAAUCAGAAUUUUAGCAAGAUGAAAAACAAAUCUGCUACCUGACCCAGUGUUGUAUCAAGAUCUGCUUCCCCCGUCAGCCUUGCUCCAUGUUCCCACGAUCAUCCACGAUUGUUAAGGAUAAAUUAAAAUAAAAUUAUAUUAUAAAAACCAACCAAAGAACAGAUACAAUUAAGAAAUGUCAUCAUCAGCUGCUUAUAGUUUGUUAUUUUUAGCUAAUAAACCCCUAAAAUAAAUGCUACGCUGCAGUGAGCUCUAAAAAGGAGAUAUAAAUGAAAAGAGGCACGCUUGUUUUCGUUGGUGAUCACCCCACCGGUUCUGGUACCGAAAAAUCUGAAGGAAAAACGGGAACAGAUCAUUGUCUUUUACAGAAAAUCUCUGGAGAUGUUCAACCACGUGUCUGCCAGGAGCAAAUAUCGUGUUGUGAUUGUACUCUAAGUGUUAACGUGUCUGUAGGAUGUACAUCUGUAGUAACAUGUCUGUAGGAUGUAUAUAUGUAGGUCAAUGUGUCUGUAGGAUGUGUACCUGUAGGUUAAUGUGUCUGUGUAUCUGUAGGUUAAUGUGUCUGCAGGAUGUACAUCUGUGGUAACAUGUCUGUAGGAUGUGUAUCUGUAGGUUAAUGUGUCUGUAGGAUGUACAUCUGUAGGUUAACGUGUCUGUAGGAUGUAUAUCUGUAGAUUAAUGUGUCUGUAGGAUGUAUAUAUGUAGGUUAAUGUGUCUGUAGGAUGUAUAUCUGUAGGUUAAUGUGUCUGUAGGAUGUGUAUCUGURUGUAGGAUGUAUAUCUGUAGGUUAAUGUGUCUGUAGGAUGUGUAUCUGUAGGUUAAUGUGUCUGUAGGAUGUACAUCUGUAGGUUAAUGUGUCUGUAGGAUGUAUAUCUGUAGGUUAACAUGUCUGUAGGAUGUAUAUCUGUAGGUUAAUGUGUCUGUAGGAUGUACAUCUGUAGGUUAAUGUCUGUAGGAUGUGUAUCUGUAGGUUAAUGUGUCUGUAGGAUGUAUAUCUGUAGGUUAAUGUGUCUGUAGGAUAUACAUCUGUAGGUUAAUGUGUCUGUAGGAUAUACAUCUGUAGGUUAAUGUGUGUAGGAUGUAUAUCUAUAGGUUAAUGUGUCUGUAGGAUGUAUAUCUAUAGGUUAAUGUCUGUAGGAUGUAUAUCUAUAGGUUAAUGUCUGUAAGAUGUACAUCUGUAGGUUAAUGUCUGUAGGAUGUGUAUCUGUAGGUUAAUGUGUCUGUAGGAUGUACAUCUGUAGGUUAAUGUCUGUAGGAUGUACAUCUGUAGGUUAACAUGUCUGUAGGAUGUAUAUCUAUAGGUUAAUGUCUGUAGGAUGUACAUCUGUAGGUUAAUGUGUCUGUAGGAUGUACAUCUGUAGGUUAAUGUGUCUGUAGGAUGUACAUCUGUAGGUUAAUGUCUGUAGGAUGUGUAUCUGUAGGUUAAUGUCUGUAGGAUGUACAUCUGUAGGUUAAUGUCUGUAGGAUGUACAUCUGUAGGUUAAUGUCUGUAGGAUGUACAUCUGUAGGUUAAUUUGUCUGUAGGAUGUACAUCUGUAGGUUAAUGUCUGUAGGAUGUGUAUCUGUAGGUUAAUGUCUGUAGGAUGUACAUCUGUAGGUUAAUGUCUGUAGGAUGUACAUCUGUAGGUUAACGUGUCUGUAGGAUGUUUAUCCAUAGGUUAAUGUGUCUGUAGGAUGUACAUCUGUAGGUUAACAUGUCUGUAGGACGUAUAUCUAUAGGUUAAUGUGUCUGUAGGAUGUACAUCUAUACGUGUAUCUGUAGGAGGCGGAGCCAAGAAUCGAUCACUAUCGUGGUUCAUAGCAGUUUCUCUCUCUGUGAAAUGUUUUUUUUUUCAAUAUGAAGAAGCUAAAGGUUCCUUUCUGUGUUAAAAAGCCGUUAAAAUCUGCAACG